rnacentral:rRNA from 1 species
ACGAAGGGGGCUAGCGUUGCUCGGAAUCACUGGGCGUAAAGCGCACGUAGGCGGAUCGUUAAGUCAGGGGUGAAAGCCUGGAGCUCAACUCCAGAACUGCCCUUGAUACUGGCGAUCUCGAGUCCGGAAGAGGUAAGUGGAACUGCGAGUGUAGAGGUGAAAUUCGUAGAUAUUCGCAAGAACACCAGUGGCGAAGGCGGCUUACUGGUCCGGUACUGACGCUGAGGUGCGAAAGCGUGGGGAGCAAACAG